UUACGCUUCGUUUACUUUUCGUUUCCGAUUUCUUGUAAUAAAUGAAUAUUUUCCUCAACUUUUACGCAGCUUUUCAAGAACGUAUAAAUGUAAAUUUUACAUUCAGUUGUGAAAAGAAGAUACUUUGGAUAAUAAAAAGAUACUUUAAAUAAUAAGAAUAAUUUAACCCCAAAUAACUACCAACUCCGAUAUCCAUUAUACCAUGAAUUAUUGAAUAGAGAAAGGAUGGUUGACUAUUAUUUAAACUUCCUACUUUAAAAAAGACGCGUAAAUGUUCAGAUACAUGUGUUCGAUCUAGUUUCAGUUUGAUUUUCAUUUUCAACGCAAGGACUUGUAUUCUAUUAUAUUUAUUUAAUUAUUUGUGAAAUAAUCGUUGUUAUGACAGCAGAUUUUAAAGAUAAUGAUUAUUGUGAUAUAUAACAUAGAAAAGAGGAAAUAAUUAUAAAAUAAAUAUUUUAAAAAAAUGUUAACAGUUAUUUGACUUUUUGAGAUUGUUAAAGUGAAGUGAUAACACAAAUAAAUUAAAAAAAAUUCUGCGGAUAUCUCUGAUAUUUUCAAUUUGUUUCACAUGGAAAGGGUGAACGAGAUUUUAGGAUGGAACGAUACGGAACACCAGACUUUAUGCACAGUUGGAAACCUUCCGACAACCUAAUGAAGGACCUUGACAGGGCAACCAGUUCCAAAAGAACACCCGUAUUGGUAUGCCAAAAUAUUCAUACUUA